rnacentral:rRNA from 1 species
CCUACGGGAGGCAGCAGUGGGGAAUAUUGCACAAUGGGGGAAACCCUGAUGCAGCCACGCCGCGUGAGGGAAGAAGGCUUUCGGUUUGUAAAACUCUUUUUGUCGUGAAGACAAUGACGGUAACUGAGGAUGAAGCUCCGUCUCACUACGUGCCAGCAGCCGCGGUAAAACGUCGGGAGCAAGCGUUAUCCGGAUUGACUGGGGGUAAAGGGGGCUGAGGCGGUAUGGCAAGUCAGCCGUGAAAAUCCCAGGCUCAACCCACGUACUGCGGUUGAAACUGUGUAGUUUGAGUGCAGGAGAGGUAAGCGGAAUGCCUGGUGUAGCGGUGAAAUGCGUAGAUAUCAGGAGGAACACCAGUGGCGAAGGCGGCAUACUGGGCUGUAACUGACGCUGAGGCACGAAAGCGUGGGGAGCAAACAGGAUUAGAUACCCCUGUAGUC